UACGGAGGUUGCAAGCGUUGUUCGGAAUAACUGGGCGUAAAGGGAGCGCAGGCGGCUUGAUAAGUCUAAAGUGAAAACCCAGGGCUCAACUCUGGACCUGCUUUGGAUACUGUUAAGCUUGAGUACGUGAGAGGAGAUUGGAAUUCCAGGUGUAGCGGUGAAAUGCGUAGAUAUCUGGAGGAACACCGGUGGCGAAAGCGGAUCUCUGGCACGUUACUGACGCUGAGGCUCGAAAGCGUGGGGAGCAAACGGG
rnacentral:rRNA from 1 species